CUCCAAAUAAGCAUGACAGUUCCUCUUCCAAUGACCUGGUUUCUUGCAAUAGUGACAAUCACCAUCCUUCUGAACACCACCUUUCGGCUUCAAGGCCUUAGUUGGACCAGGUUUCGGAUUGGCAUUAGAAUUAGAUCCCAUCUUCUUCUUGCCUUUCCAUUUACCCUUUCCUUUGGCCUUCCCCUUAUUCACCAUCAAUAUGGGAGUAGGGGACGCCUUCUGAAUGUUGGUUUCAGCAGUUUUCAACAUUGCCAACAAUUCGGUGGGGUUCUUGUUUAUCUCAUUCAUAUUGUAAUUCAUUACAAACUGAGAAUAGUUAUUGUUUAGAGAUUGCAAGAUCAGAUCAAUUUGGUGCUCAGGACCAAUCGGGGCACCCAAUUUUUCAAGAUAAUCAAUAUACCCUAUCAUCUUCAGAACAUGCGGUCCUACCGGAUCACGUUCACCCUGCUUACAAGCAUUCAAAGAUUUGAAAGUAUCAAACCUCUCCUGACGAGCCUGUCCCUCAAACAUACGCUUAAGGUGCUCAAUCAUAUCAUAAGAAUCCAUAUUCUCAUGUUGUUUCUGAAGUUCAGCACUCAUGGUCGCUAACAUGAGACAUUGAACAUCCGUGUCAUCAUCGAUAUGCUUCUGAUAAGCAGUAUGCUGAGCACGGGUUGAUCCUUCAGCGAGAGGUGUAGGGCGAGGAAUAUCUAUGACAUAGAGCUUGCGCUCUUGUUUGAGGACAAUCCUCAAAUUCCUUUGCCAGUCAAGGAAGUUGGUUCCUGUCAGCUUGUCCUUCUCAAGGACUGAUCGUACAGAGAAGUUGUUUGAAUUAUUUGCCAUUGGAUAUCUACAAUAUUUCAAAUGCAUAAGAUAAAUUAGUCUACAGAUGUUUAUUAAAUUAUGUUCAAGUGAUUAUAAAUAUAUAUUCAAAAUAUAUAUCUCCCACUAUUUUGUUCAAAUCAAUAGCCCUAACUAUUAAUUCGGAAAGCAUUUCUGCAAAUCUUUCUAGUGAGCCAAGAUCCAUAUUUCAUCCAUGUUUUAAGUUAGCGUGGGCUAAUACUCUCAAAACAUGACUAGAUUCUUGUUUAUCUCAUUCAUAUUGUAAUUUAUUACAAACUUAGAGUAGUAGUUGUUUAGAGAUUGAAAGAUCAGAUCAAUUUGGUGCUCAAGACCAAUCGGGGCACCCAAUUUUUUCAAGAUAAUCAAUAUACCCUAUCAUCUUCAGAACAUGCGGUCCUACCGGAUCACGUUCACCCUGCUUACAAGCAUUCAAAGAUUUGAAAGUAUCAAACCUCUCCUGACGAGCCUGUCCCUCAAACAUACGCUUAAGGUGCUCAAUCAUAUCAUAAGAAUCCAUAUUCUCAUGUUGUUUCUGAAGUUCAGCACUCAUGGUCGCUAACAUGAGACAUUGAACAUCCGUGUCAUCAUCGAUAUGCUUCUGAUAAGCAGUAUGCUGAGCACGGGUUGAUCCUUCAGCGAGAGGUGUAGGGCGAGGAAUAUCUAUGACAUAGAGCUUGCGCUCUUGUUUGAGGACAAUCCUCAAAUUCCUUUGCCAGUCAAGGAAGUUGGUUCCUGUCAGCUUGUCCUUCUCAAGGACUGAUCGUACAGAGAAGUUGUUUGAAUUAUUUGCCAUUGGAUAUCUACAAUAUUUCAAAUGCAUAAGAUAAAUUAGUCUACAGAUGUUUAUUAAAUUAUGUUCAAGUGAUUAUAAAUAUAUAUUCAAAAUAUAUAUCUCCCACUAUUUUGUUCAAAUCAAUAGCCCUAACUAUUAAUUCGGAAAGCAUUUCUGCAAAUCUUUCUAGUGAGCCAAGAUCCAUAUUUCAUCCAUGUUUUAAGUUAGCGUGGGCUAAUACUCUCAAAACAUGACUAUUUAGGUAGACAACAUUUGUCAAUUAUAUCAAAUAUAAUGAGAAUAGUUAUUGUUUAGAGAUUGCAAGAUCAGAUCAAUUUGGUGCUCAGGACCAAUCGGGGCACCCAAUUUUUCAAGAUAAUCAAUAUACCCUAUCAUCUUCAGAACAUGCGGUCCUACCGGAUCACGUUCACCCUGCUUACAAGCAUUCAAAGAUUUGAAAGUAUCAAACCUCUCCUGACGAGCCUGUCCCUCAAACAUACGCUUAAGGUGCUCAAUCAUAUCAUAAGAAUCCAUAUUCUCAUGUUGUUUCUG
rnacentral:lncRNA from 1 species